rnacentral:rRNA from 1 species
AUUGAACGCUGGCGGCAGGCUUAACACAUGCAAGUCGAGCGGAGAUGAGGUGCUUGCACCUUAUCUUAGCGGCGGACGGGUGAGUAAUGCUUAGGAAUCUGCCUAUUAGUGGGGGACAACAUUCCGAAAGGAAUGCUAAUACCGCAUACGUCCUACGGGAGAAAGCAGGGGAUCUUCGGACCUUGCGCUAAUAGAUGAGCCUAAGUCGGAUUAGCUAGUUGGUGGGGUAAAGGCCUACCAAGGCGACGAUCUGUAGCGGGUCUGAGAGGAUGAUCCGCCACACUGGGACUGAGACACGGCCCAGACUCCUACGGGAGGCAGCAGUGGGGAAUAUUGGACAAUGGGGGGAACCCUGAUCCAGCCAUGCCGCGUGUGUGAAGAAGGCCUUAUGGUUGUAAAGCACUUUAAGCGAGGAGGAGGCUACUGAGACUAAUACUCUUGGAUAGUGGACGUACUCGCAGAUAGCCC